rnacentral:rRNA from 1 species
GACGAACGCUGGCGGCGUGCUUAACACAUGCAAGUCGAACGGAAAGGCCCUGCUUUUGUGCGUUGCUCGAGUGGCGAACGGGUGAGUAACACGCGAGUAACCUGUCCCUGUCUUUGGGAUAACUUCAGGAAACUGGGGCUAAUACCGCAUAUGAUCUCCUGCUGCAUGGUGGGGGUUGGAAAGUUUCGGCGGUUGGGGAUGGACUCGCGGCUUAUGGGCUUGUUUGUGGGGUAGUGGCUUACCAAGGCUUUGACGGGUAGCCGGCCUGAGAGGGUGGCCGGCGACAUUGGGCCUAAGGGAGGGACCAGACGGCUAUGGGAGGCAGCAGGGGGGAAUCUGGCAGAAUGAGGGGGAGUCUGAUACAGAGGUGCCGGGAGCGGGAUGACGGGCUACGGGGUGUAAACAACUUUCGCAUGAGACGAAGCGGUCGUGACGGUAAUGGGUAAAGAAGCACCGGCUAACUACGUG